rnacentral:rRNA from 1 species
AAAGAGACACCAUACACACACACAAUCAUGUAUGUAUGAAUAAAAUUUCACUAAUGUUUUGGAGCAUUCAAACCAUUUGAAUUGUGGAGAAUGGCGAACCAAACCUUCUCGAAUUGGCCAAUUCUAAAAUAAGUCUUCUGCGAAAACCCGCAAAACCCCGCGCACCCAAACAGAUUAUAGCUUCGUACAUAUUCAUGAUUGGAUUGUUGUUUUUUUCCCCUCUCGUCUACGCUGCCGGUUAUUGGCCUUUUCUGGCCAGACAAACAACUGUCACCGUCGCUGACCAGCAUCCCAACGGCCGCGUUGCUGGAGAUAAAGCUUUCCCGACGCUUCUCGGAAGCACCGUCGGGUAAAUAGUUGAACCAAGUUCUUGGGAACUUCUUGAGCGCCGUCUAAUAAAGUGCUCGCGCCGAGACCGAAGAGGAGGCUGGGAUCCGUCAUCAAAACCGAAGCGCCAAUAAAGCCGAUAAGACGAACCGAAUAUUUUAUAGCCUNNNNNNNNNNNNNNNNNNNNAAUCUGGAUAAGGAUGCCGAUCGUACGGUCGCUUGCGACUGACGACAGAUCUUUCAAAUGUCUGCCCUAUCAACUAUUGAUGGUAGUGUAGAGGACUACCAUGGUUGCGACGGGUAACGGGGAAUCAGGGUUCGAUUCCGGAGAGGGAGCCUGAGAAAUGGCUACCACAUCCAAGGAAGGCAGCAGGCGCGUAAAUUACCCAAUCCCGGCACGGGGAGGUAGUGACGAGAAAUAACAAUAUGGACCUCUCUAACGAUGGUCCAUAAUUGGAAUGAGUUGAGCAUAAAUCCUUUUGCAAGGAUCAAGUGGAGGGCAAGUCUGGUGCCAGCAGCCGCGGUAAUUCCAGCUCCACUAGCGUAUAUUC